UAUAGUUGGCUCAUCGAGGCAGU
rnacentral:miRNA from 1 species